GAAUUAUGUUGGUUUGCUAGGGAGGACAUUAUAAGCAUAGUUAAUAGGGUUUGGAGUACUAAUUUGUGUGGUAAGGAUAAUCUGGCUGUCUGGCAGCAGAAGAUGAGGCUUUUGAGAAGGUGCCUAAAGGGCUGUAAUCUCAAUGUUGAAGGGAUGUAUAAGAAAAGUAGAAAUAGCUUAAUUACUCAGCUAGAUGAUAUUGAUAAAAGAUGUGAGAAAACUGGGUUCUCGGUUGCUGACUAUGAGUUAAGAAAUGUUUUACAGUAUAACUUGAAUAAAUUGCUUCGAGAGGAAGAGAUUAAGUGGUACCAACACUUGAAAGAGAGGGAUAUUAGAGAAGGCGAUAAUAUCACUAGGUAUCUUAUGAUCAAAGCUAGCGGUAGGAAGCGUAAGAGCAAAAUUUUCAGAUUUGUUCAGGAGGAAGGGAUUAUUCAAGGAGAUGAUAAGCUGCUUGAUUAUGCCACU
rnacentral:rRNA from 1 species